UACGUAGGGUGCAAGCGUUAAUCGGAAUUACUGGGCGUAAAGCGUGCGCAGGCGGUUGUGCAAGACCGAUGUGAAAUCCCCGGGCUUAACCUGGGAAUGGCAUUGGUGACUGCACGGCUAGAGUGUGUCAGAGGGGGGUAGAAUUCCAACGUGUAGCAGUGAAAUGCGUAGAGAUGUGGAGGAAUACCGAUGGCGAAGGCAGCCCCCUGGGAUAACACUGACGCUC
rnacentral:rRNA from 1 species